rnacentral:rRNA from 1 species
GACGAACGCUGGCGGCGUGCUUAACACAUGCAAGUCGAACGGAAAGGCCCUGCUUUUGUGGGGUGCUCGAGUGGCGAACGGGUGAGUAACACGUGAGUAACCUGCCCUUGACUUUGGGAUAACUUCAGGAAACUGGGGCUAAUACCGGAUAGGAGCUCCUGCUGCAUGGUGGGGGUUGGAAAGUUUCGGCGGUUGGGGAUGGACUCGCGGCUUAUCAGCUUGUUGGUGGGGUAGUGGCUUACCAAGGCUUUGACGGGUAGCCGGCCUGAGAGGGUGACCGGCGACAUAGGGACUGAGAGACGGCCCAGAAUCCAACGGGAGGCAACAGUGGAGAAUAUGGCACAAUGGGCGGAAGCCUGAUGCAGAAACGCCGCGUGCGGGAUGACGGCCUUCGGGUUGUAAACCGCUUUCGACUGUGACGAAGCGUGAGUGACGGUAAUGGGUAAAGAAGCACCGGCUAAAUACGUG